AUUAAGGUGGUUCCCAACACUUUCACUAAAAUUAAUUUAGCUCGUUUAAUUUUCAUAAAAUUUUGACAAAGUAUUUACUUUGACCCUUUAACAAAAACAUAAAAAUUUCAAAUAUUAUAAACCAACCAUUUUAUCGAGAAAUUACACUGGUUAUAUAGCAGUUUGACAAACACCAAUUUUGAUCAUUGAGAAGCUUAAUAUUUCCUUUACAACACAACAUAAUUAAAACGUUUAGCUGAUUUUACAGAGUUAUCUCCCUGUAGUGUU
rnacentral:lncRNA from 1 species